UUUCCCUCAGGAUAGCUGGCACUCGCUCGAUAGCGAGUCUCAUCUGGUAAAGCGAAUGAUUAGAGGCCUUGGGGCCGAAACGACCUCAACCUAUUCUCAAACUUUAAAUGGGUGAGAUCUCUGGCUUGCUUGAACGUUGAAGCCACGAGAUCGGGUUUCGUCGCGUCGCGGCGGAACGCCUCACGGAUCAGAGUGCCAAGUGGGCCAAUUUUGGUAAGCAGAACUGGCGCUGUGGGA
rnacentral:rRNA from 1 species